rnacentral:rRNA from 1 species
AAGCGGCAACAGCUCAAAUUUGAAAUCUGGCCUCUUUGGGGUCCGAGUUGUAAUUUGUAGAGGAUGUUUCGGGUACCGCCUCGGUCUAAAUUUCUUGGAACAGAAUGUCAAAGAGGGUGAGAAUCCCGUCUUGGAUCGGCGGUAGGGCCCAUGUGAAACUCCUUCGACGAGUCGAGUUGUUUGGGAAUGCAGCUCAAAAUGGGUGGUAUAUUUCAUCUAAAGCUAAAUAUUGGCCAGAGACCGAUAGCGCACAAGUAGAGUGAUCGAAAGAUGAAAAGCACUUUGAAAAGAGAGUUAAACAGUAUGUGAAAUUGUUGAAAGGGAAGCGCUUGCAACCAGACUUGCGCGCGGCGGUUCCCCCUUCCUUUUGGCUGGGUUAUUCCGCCGUGUCCAGGCCAACAUCGGUUCUGGGGGUCGGUUAAAGGCUCUGGGAAUGUAUCUACCCUUCGGGCGUAGACUUAUAGCCCAGAGUGUCAUGCGGCCUCCCGGGACCGAGGAACGCGCUUCGGCUCGGAUGUUGGCGUAAUGGU